AGAAUCAACGCUGGCGGCGUGCCUCAGACAUGCAAGUCGAACGCGAAAGUCCCCUUCGGGGGACAAGUAGAGUGGCGCACGGGUGAGUAACACGUAGGUAAUCUACCUUCGGGUGGGGAAUAACAACCGGAAACGGUUGCUAAUACCGCAUAAUGCAGCGGCACCUAAUGGUGACAGUUGUUAAAGCGGGGGAUCGAAAGACCUCGCGUCUGAAGAGGAGCCUGCGGCGGAUUAGCUAGUUGGUAGGGUAACGGCCUACCAAGGCGACGAUCCGUA
rnacentral:rRNA from 1 species